rnacentral:rRNA from 1 species
UACGUAGGGGGCGAGCGUUGUCCGGAAUUACUGGGCGUAAAGAGCGCGUAGGCGGGUGCUUGCAUCCACUGUCAAAGCCCCUGGCUCAACCAGGGGAAGCCGGUGGCGAUGGGGCGCCUGGAGGAUGGCAGAGGCAAGCGGAAGUCCCGAAGUAGUGGUGAAAUGCGUAGAGAUCGGGAGGAACACCAGAGGCGAAGGCGGGUUGCUGGGCCAUGACUGACGCUGAGGCGCGAAAGCUAGGGGAGCGAACGGA